UUCCUCUUGGAGCAAAUCCGGAUCUAUUAGGUAAAAGAUUAGUAAAAUGGGGACCGUUGGAUAAGGUAACUAUGAUCCAAAUCCCUCCAUUUUUCUGAUUUUUUAUAUAGAAUGGAUUUCGGAUUUUUGUGGGGAGGAAGCAUGGAAGGUUCUAGCCUCUAUAUAUGUAGGAGGAUUUUCGAACAGAUAGAUGGAGAAGAAAAAAGGAGGAGAAAAAUCGGGAUUGAAAAGACAUUAGUGUUCGAACCAGAGGUUGCUUUUUUUCUUCUCAUUUUUGGUCGAUUUUUAGUUGAGUCCGAAUUUCCGAAAAACGAAAAAAAAAAAAAUAGUUCAAGUUUCAUUUUUGCUCAGUCCUUGUUUCAUUUAGACAGAAAAUCAGAAAAUUUCAAAAAAAUAGUUUAGUUUCUUCUUCCAGAUUUGUUGUUUUGACAUGGAGGUUGAUUGAGCCGAAGUCGAGUUCGCCGUUCGAGUUCUUAGUUGCUGGUUCGAUUCCUGCUGCUGUUGUGUUGCUUGUACAUUUCAAAACUUCAUCGGAAAGUCAGCUUGUAAUCGCAUGCAUCCAAAUUCAAUCAAAAGCUUUCGACAUUCAGGUUCAUCUCCCAACUCUUUUGGGAUCUGUUUGGUGUUCGAUCGAAUUCACAUGUUAGUAGAGUCGAAUUUUUGCUGGUUUUGAAUAUUGAUUGAUUGCGGAUGAAUUUUCUUCGUUAUGGAUAUGUUCUGUUUUGUCUUCGUGUUAGAAGUAUGUUUUAACUUCGAAUAUGUCUGCCUCCUAUUACUGAAGGAUUGAUUACGUGGGUUCAAGGAGUCGAAAUAGCUUAGCUAAUUCCUUGUAUAGUUCCCUAAAUCGGAUAACUUGUCUGGUGGAGUUUCGUAAUUUGUGAGUUCAUUGAAUGUUCAGCAGCCUUCAUCUCGAUUCUGUCUAGUCUGGCUUGUCGUCGCAUUGAGCAAUUGUUCAUAGUUCCGUUGCUGUUGCUGAUACUCAGUAAUUGGUAUUUUUAUGGGUGCUUACCAAUAGCCCCUGUCCGUAUAUAUAGGAUCACACAGGACGUUAGUUUGAUAACUUACAGGGAGUUCUUGUAGUUCAUUUAGAAUUCAAGUAUGAGUUUAGCAUUUUAGUUUGCGCAUCAUAUUCAAGCAAAUCUGCCCCUAUCCAGAAUACAUGACCAUUUGUGCUUUGUUUCUUCUACUAGAGAUGGAUUAAUCAAUUGGUUAGGCUUACAUGACUAGUUCAGUGUUAAGUUGGUCUGGGCCACAUCCCAAAGAUUGUGGAAUCAUUUGCUCUGUCACUCAUAUAGAUGUUCUGUUAGUACUUUAAAGGAAAAUUUGCAUAAAUAUAGUGUAUAUAAAACGGAAGGUGAAGACUUCACAAAAUACGGGGCAAGGGUAAACCAAUCCUAUAGUAUCUGUUUGUGUUUCCAUUGAGUAAUGCUUAUAUUGAAUUAGUAUUUAAUUUGUUAUGAUUGAUCCCUUAAAUUUAUAAGAAAGCAUAACAAUAUUGUUUACAAGUAUUUGCCGGAAUCUGUUUGCUUUUGAAAGAUGCAUUCAAAUUUUACUCAUAAGAAAUCUCUUUUCGCUCCUUGCCUGUGACUCCACCAUUGUCCAUGUAGGAAUUGGAGCAUAUAUUUCCAACAUUUGUAGAAAGCUCUGUUAAAUAAAGUGGUACCUUCAUAAGAAUAGAAUCUUUUAAAGAUAGUCUUGAGGUGUAGAUUUUUCACAUGAAUUAGUGUUUUAAAAUUGCCCCGUCAGCAACAUUAGACUUCCAGUGAUUAGCCUUUCUACAUGACCCUUGAUAGGGGAGUAUGGAGGUCUAGAAUCAGGGUUGUAGGCUAGGGGCUCAUAGAGUUCUUCGUACGCCUCACCCGGUUUGCUAUCAUGAGAUCUCUCCCUACCCUCUUUAUCUUCUACUUAGAAAAAAUGUUUCAUUUCUUUUUUAGUACGUAUGACUUUUCCAUUGACACUUUUUCUUUUGACAUUUAACAUUCAUGUGAUUAGAAGGAACAUGUUACUACUUACUCAUACCAAUUCCAAUUAUCGAUGAACUUGAGAAGCCGACAAAUAAAAGAUAGUAUUAUAUUCUUGAACGUUUUUUUUUAGGUUUUCCUAAUUAAAUAUUAUAUUUUCUGAAUUUACUAGUUUGUUGUUUCUAAUCUUGUCUUUGUUUUUGUUUUUGUUUUUGUUAUAAUGCAGCUUUUCAUUUUAUCCUAUGCGCCGAGGGUCGAAUGGAAAUAGCCUCUCUUCCCUUUCGGGUAGGGGUAAGGCUCGUCUACAUAUUACCCUCCCCAAACCCCACCUGGUGGGAAUAUACUGGUAGUUGUUGUUGUUGUUAUUGUUGAUUAGCCUUUCUAUUAGUAUAGUUAAAUAUGGAAUUUCUCAUCGUUUUUCACUUCUUCUUUUGGUUUUGUCUUGUUUGUUGUUUUGUUCUGAAUGUCGUUCCUUUCUUCGUGUACGCACCUCUUAUUUCAAUGACCACGUUGAGCCAUGGGAGGGGGGUGAAAUUACAAACGAACCGAAGAAUGAAUAUGAUCAUGGAAUGUCUCUAUUUUAGCUUAAUUUUACUUUUCUUUCAUAAUGGCUAGGGGCAUGCUUAGGCCGGCAACACUUGGAUAGGCAAUUUUAGGAUUUUUCAUUUGCUUUUGAUUUUGAGGUGAGAGGUCGUUCCCGAUAGUUAAAUUUGUCCGGGGAAUGUCCCGAAGUAUUUGUAUAUAUUUUGAACCGGGGAAUGCCCCGAAGUAAAUGUAAAUGGAGGCUGUGGCAUUAUAAAUGGAUGCGUAGUAUAGGCUAGCAUGACUUAUUUCAUUUUGUUUUAUUUUUCUUUUAUUAGGUGGGGACGACCUCGAGCCUCUUGUGUGUUUAUUUUAUUUCUGUAAGUUUUACCUUAACUUGAAUGUUUUCAAAGCCAACUAGAUCAAGUACGCAGCCGUACUAGCUACGGGACUCGGGGAAUGCCUAACAUCUUCUCCCCAAGUCAAAUGAACCCCUUUUACUUGAAUCUCUGGUACGGACUUGGUUUUAGAGUCUGAAAUGUUUUAAAAGGAAAAAUAAAUAUUUUUAGAAAAC
rnacentral:lncRNA from 1 species